rnacentral:rRNA from 1 species
UACGUAGGGUGCGAGCGUUAAUCGGAAUUACUGGGCGUAAAGCGUGCGCAGGCGGUGAUGUAAGACAGGUGUGAAAUCCCCGGGCUUAACCUGGGCACUGCAUUUGUGACUGCAUCGCUGGAGUGCGGCAGAGGGGGAUGGAAUUCCGCGUGUAGCAGUGAAAUGCGUAGAUAUGCGGAGGAACACCGAUGGCGAAGGCAAUCCCCUGGGCCUGCACUGACGCUCAUGCACGAAAGCGUGGGGAGCAAACAGG